ACUCCUACGGGAGGCAGCAGUGGGGAAUAUUGCACAAUGGGGGAAACCCUGAUGCAGCGACGCCGCGUGGAGGAAGAAGGUCUUCGGAUUGUAAACUCCUGUUGUUGAGGAAGAUAAUGACGGUACUCAACAAGGAAGUGACGGCUAACUACGUGCCAGCAGCCGCGGUAAAACGUAGGUCACAAGCGUUGUCCGGAAUUACUGGGUGUAAAGGGAGCGCAGGCGGGAGAACAAGUUGGAAGUGAAAUCCAUGGGCUCAACCCAUGAACUGCUUUCAAAACUGUUUUUCUUGAGUAGUGCAGAGGUAGGCGGAAUUCCCGGUGUAGCGGUGGAAUGCGUAGAUAUCGGGAGGAACACCAGUGGCGAAGGCGGCCUACUGGGCACCAACUGACGCUGAGGCUCGAAAGUGUGGGUAGCAAACAGGAUUAGAUACCCUGGUAGUCCACACCGUAAACGAUGAUUACUAGGUGUUGGAGGAUUGACCCCUUCAGUGCCGCAGUUAACACAAUAAGUAAUCCACCUGGGGAGUACGACCGCAAGGUUGAAACUCAAAGGAAUUGACGGGGGCCCGCACAAGCAGUGGAGUAUGUGGUUUAAUUCGACGCAACGCGAAGAACCUUACCAAGUCUUGACAUCCCUUGACGAACAUAGAAAUAUGUUUUCUCUUCGGAGCAAGGAGACAGGUGGUGCAUGGUUGUCGUCAGCUCGUGUCGUGAGAUGUUGGGUUAAGUCCCGCAACGAGCGCAACCC
rnacentral:rRNA from 2 species